UACGGGGGGAGCAAGCGUUGUUCGGAUUUACUGGGCGUAAAGGGCGCGUAGGCGGCCAACUAAGUCAGACGUGGAAUCCCCAGGCUCAACCUGGGAACUGCGUCUGAUACUGGAUGGCUUGAAUUCGGGAGAGGGAUGCAGAAUUCCAGGUGUAGCGGUGAAAUGCGUAGAUAUCUGGAGGAAUACCGGUGGCGAAGGCGGCAUCCUGGACCGACAUUGACGCUGAUGAGCGAAAGCUAGGGGAGCAAACGGG
rnacentral:rRNA from 1 species